UAUAGACAAUCACUUGUCUAAAGUUACCAUCAAAUUCAAGCUGACAUCCAAAUACUAUUUUUCAUUUUUAAAUAUAGUUUUCAUUCAAUUAUUUGAUAUCAGUCCCUCUCUUAUCCUUCCUAUUCUGUCUGGAUCCUCAGGAAUAUUGUAUUUCGUUAACAUCGUGUAAUAGGGGAAGACAGACUGUGGAAACAAACCAUGGCAGCCACAUCCACCAGAAUGAACCUGGAGGACAUUUAUCUAUUAUUUUCUGUGACUAUUGUGGCUGCAGAACUUAGAAGCAAUUGUAUAUUGUAGUGCUUCAGAGAUUAAUUUGAUGUGGAAACAUGACCUAUUCAUCCUGCUCAUGAGGAACUCAGACUCAGAUCUCAGGAGCCUGUUCAUGAUAAUCUCAGUCUCAGGCAUGGAUGAAAUGAUUCUUUCCAACUUCUGAGAAGGCUUCAUUGAAGACAUGCUCACCAUAAAUACAUUGUGGAUAAGGAAGUGCAGACAUCCAUCUCUGACUUCUCCUGGGAAGCUUUUGCUGAAGACAGAGACACCACACCUACCUGCUUGUAUUUUAAUUUGAAGGACAUUAACAGAAAAGAAACACAGAGACCAUAACCAGAUUUGGGGAUGUGAGCCCCUUUUCUCAUUUGGCAAAAGCUACCAGGCUUGAUUAUAUAGGACAGAGAUUAUGAAGUCAGAGACCUCUGUCUAAAGCACCUGAUGGGAAAAGACAAUCUGAUGAAAACAUUGGGCUGAGCAGUAGCAGAAGUGUAGAUGAAAACACCAAAACUGAAGUUUUGUUUGGUAUGCUUCAUACCCAUAUGAAUAAUUUCUACCUGGGAAGCCAUAUCAGUGACUGAAUUGUCAGUAAGCAGCUGCAGAGGAAACAUGGCUGCUUCUGUGGUUACAGAAAAAUGUCUUUCAUGAUAAUUUUUGGCCAUGAGAAAUACUUCAGUUGUAAGUCCUCUGUUUCUCUUCUGAAAGAGAUAGGCCUCCAUUAAGUAUCAACAAAGAUAGGAGUAUCAAAUUGCAGUAAGACUAAGAAACUGUGCUUGUAUUAAUGUUGGACAAGGCUUGGUGAAUCCUGUUGAAGAGAGGGAAGAAGGAUUGUAUAAGUCUGGAGAAUCAAGGUCACCACAAGGUCUCACAAGCAUGCUCAUGAAAAUUUCAGUCUCAAGCAUGGAUGAAAUGUUCUUCCCAACUUCUGAGAAGGCUUCAUUGAAGACAUGCUCACCAUACCUACCCUGUGGUAAGCUUCAUACAUGUAUGGUUGAUUUCUACCUGGGAAGCCAAAUCAGUGACUGAAGUAUCAGUAAGCAGUGCAGAAGAAACAUGGCUCCUUCUGUGUUUACAGAGAAAUGUCUCUAAGGAUGACUUUCAGCUCUGAGAGAUACUUCAGUUGUAAGGAAAGAAAUCAUUUCUGGUAGGGAAAGUCAUUCUGCUGCAGCAUUUGGUUGGGAUUGAUCAGACUGCGGGGAUUAUUUCAUCUAUGCGGUGUAUGAGACUUCAUAAAAGAGUUGUGAACUGUAGAAGAAAUGGAUAUUUUUUGUUAUUUCAGCAUAUGGAAAAGUGUCACAAAUGAUAGGAAUAAUAUAGAAGACUCCCAGGGAUCAGAAAAACUGGAUCCCAUGGAGAGAAUCAUGCAAUAUGCCAUGAAGAGGAUGAUUUGCACAGCCUGGGCCUUCAACAGAAGAAAUAUAUGAUGGAAGGAAAGAAGUUACAACAUGAUAUCAUCUCUUCAUGAAUUUAACAGAAGUUCUACAGCAAUGUUACCAGCAGUGUUCACCUUAAGAUUGCAUGGUGCUAAGGAGAAGCACAGAUAUAUGCUGGACAACAUAGAAAACACUCUGUACCAUAUUGGUAUUGUAAGAAAUUCUAAAAUCAAAUUAUGGGAAAGUGCAGUGAAUGUGACUGUUUGGAGAGAAGCUCGGCUCACAUGUGAUGAGGAAUACCGUAGAGACGCCUCUGCACUGCUCAUGUCCACUACAUCUUAGUGGCUCAGAGUAGAACAUCAUAGACACUUUCUUACUUUCUAAUAUUUCAGAAAAAAUAAAUUGAAACUUGAGGAGGCACUCAGAGAUAUGGUAAAAGAAUGCUGGAGGUUUACAUAGACCAGUCAGCCUUUAUGGUCUUUGGCUAUUAUUCAAAUGGUUACUUUUCCUUUCAAUGUCAAAUAUGCCUAGGAGGGAAGUUGUUUUAGGCAGGGAUGUUGUCAAGUCCCAGGACUCUUAAGACUGGUUCUGUAUUUUUAGUUCCUGUGGUAAUUUUCCACCUAGGUUCUUGAUUUUAUUAUUAUGAGGGAUGUGUAGUGUCUGGUUUCUCUAAUCUACAGUUCAUGAUUCUACUCUUCCACAUCAUUAGCCAGCACUCUCUCAGCCUCCUACAUCCCUGUUCUAAAUACCUCACAAACCUUCAGAUUUGAGAAAUUAUCAUUAUUUUACUGGCAGACUUGAUCUCUGUGAGUUCAAGGCCAGACUGAUCUCCAGAGCAAGGGCCAGGAUAUGCUCCAAACCC